rnacentral:rRNA from 1 species
CCUACGGGGGGCAGCAGUGGGGGAUAUUGCACAAUGGGGGAAACCCUGAUGCAGCGACGCCGCGUGAGUGAAGAAGUAUUUCGGUAUGUAAAGCUCUAUCAGCAGGGAAGAAAAUGACAGUACCUGACCAAGAAGCCCCGGCUAACUACGUGCCAGCAGCCGCGGUAAUACGUAGGGGGCAAGCGUUAUCCGGAUUUACUGGGUGUAAAGGGAGCGUAGCCGGUUGUGUAAGUCUGGAGUGAAAGCCCGGGGCCCAACCCCGGGACUGCUUUGGAAACUGUGUAACUGGAGUACAGGAGGGGAAGGGGGAAUCCGGAGGGGAGCGGGGAAAUGCGAAGAUAUCAGGAGGAA